rnacentral:piRNA from 1 species
UACAUGCUGUGGUCAUCAGAGAGGUGUUU